ensembl:lncRNA
AAAGGAACAGAUAAACUUGAGCUCUGACUGGUCAUUUGUAUCAUCAUGCAAUGUGGGUCAUUUUGUGGUUAGGACAAUACUUUUGUUUAUGUGAUCUGAGGUCACUCCUUAAUGGCCUUUUGUGUCUGUGAUGUCACAAUUCUAGAGACUUUUCUUGCUAUGGCUGUUCUAUGAAACUCUCCGUGUUCAUCACAAAAACUUUCAACAUGUGCCCAGCCAGCUCCUGCAUGCCUGUGCCAAGCUUCCCUUCUUACAACACAGUCCUUGAAAUGAGCCCAUCUGAAAAGAAGCCCCAAGCUGGCAAGGAUGCCAUGAGGUGAACAGACCUCUCCAACACACAAGUCCAUCUUGAAAUGAGGAGCUGCAUAAAUCCAAAGCAACAAGGCCAAGCAAAUGUGGACUGGGAUGUCAGACACAGAGUCUCUGAAUUUUCUCAGGCACUUUGCUGCAGAAACGGAUAGCUAAAUCCCUUACUUACAGAUCUCUUUGCUUAUACAUGCACUAGAAGACACAGAGUUCCUACUCACCUCUCUUGGUUUAUCUCGAAAUUUUUAGUAAGCUAAAUUUUACUUGCAUGUUUUUCAAUAUCUAACACAUUUCAGCAAGCUAUGCUACUUUAAUCCAUUUAUUUCAAAGUGUUCUUUAAUCUCAAAACAUUUGAGUUUCUUUAUGAAACUUUUCAGGCUGAGAUGGGCCAUUUCCUGGUCCCAUACCUGCUCCUGGAUCUUAUUAACUGAGUGAAUUCUCUCAUGUGAUCAAAUCUUCUCCCAUGUUUUUUUGUUUCUUUGUUUUAUUCCUCCCACAACUGUAUGGCCUCUCAGUCUCAUGGACUCUGCAGAUGAAGCACAAUUUCUUCAUUUGGGGGGAAGGUUUUUCCACAUUCUAGACAUUUAUAUUUUUUUACCCUUACUUGGAUUCCUUCAUGGCUACUCCGAUGAAAAUUCUGAUGAAGUUUUUUCCCACUCUGAGAACUGGAAUAAGGUUGCUCCCUGUAUAGACUUAUUUGUUGGUCUUUCAGCUCAGACGAAAACGUGUUCUGGUACGUGGUUGCCCAGGAAACACACAGUUGAGUUGGGACAGUGUCCCAGUGGAAGAUCAUCCUAAGACAUGGGAGCCCAGGAGCCACCCUCACAUAGUUCUGAGGUGGGACAGAGUCCCAGUGGAAAGGCAUCUUGAGACAUUGGAGUCCAGGAACCACAUAAUUCUGAGAGGAAGCCUCCUCAGCAGAAACAUUCAAGCUCCAAGGGAGUGGAUCCUCAGCUGACCUAAGGAGCUGAAGAGACAC